rnacentral:rRNA from 1 species
AGCGAACGCUGGCGGCGUGCUUAACACAUGCAAGUCGAGUGCGCAGUUCUCUGUAGCAAUACAGGGAAUGGGCGCACGGCGCACGGGUGCGUAACACGUGGGUUACCUGCCCUCGGAUGGGGGAUAACCCCGCGAAAGCGGGGCUAAUACCGCAUGACAUCCUGGUGAUUUCGAUCGCCAGAAUCAAAGCUCGCAAGAGCGUCUGAGGAGGGGCCCGCGCCCGAUUAGCUUGUUGGUGAGGUAACGGCUCACCAAGGCAAUGAUCGGUAGCCGGUCUGAGAGGAUGUCCGGCCACACUGGAACUGAGACACGGUCCAGACUCCUACGGGAGGCAGCAGUGGGGAAUCUUGCGCAAUGGGCGAAAGCCUGACGCAGCGACGCCGCGUGGGGGAUGAAGCUUCUCGGAGUGUAAACCCCUUUCGACCCGGACGAAUGGCCCGCAAGGGACGUGACGGUACGGGUAGAAGAAGCCCCGGCUAACUACGUGC